rnacentral:rRNA from 1 species
AGAACGAACGCUGGCGGCAUGCCUAACACAUGCAAGUCGAACGCUUCACCGGUUUCGGCCGGUGGGGAGUGGCGCACGGGUGAGUAGCGCGUGGGAACCUGCCCUGUUGUGGGGGAUAACCGAGGGAAACUUCGGCUAAUACCGCAUAAGCCGGUUGUCUUGAAAGAGAUGGCCGGGAAAGAUUUAUCGCGACAGGAGGGGCCCGCGUCGGAUUAGCUAGUUGGUGGGGUAACGGCCCACCAAGGCUGUGAUCCGUAGCUGGUCUGAGAGGAUGAUCAGCCACACUGGGACUGAGACACGGCCCAGACUCCUACGGGAGGCAGCAGUGGGGAAUAUUGGACAAUGGGCGCAAGCCUGAUCCAGCAAUGCCGCGUGAGUGAUGAAGGCCUUAGGGUUGUAAAGCUCUUUCGCCCGCGACGAUGAUGACGGUAGCGGGAGAAGAAGCCCCGGCUAACUUCGUGCCAGCAGCCGCGGUAA